ensembl:lincRNA
GUCUUCUGUCUUAACCCCCAACUGAAGCCAACCUCAGUGAAUAAUUUGAGCAAAAUAAAGGGAAGACAAAAGUUAAUAGAAAAAAAAUGGUAGAGGCUUACAACACAACACUAUCAUUUGUAGUAACCUUCCACACACGCAUGAUUUUACAUUUUUACAUCUAGACUAUAUUUGGUCUUAGGGUAAGAUUAUUUUGUAAAAACUAAAGCUUCCAUAAUUUGUUUGGUUUACAAGUUAUGUGAAUUGACUGCUUAGAGCACAUGGUAAAUUUGUUUUACAAACUUUGCAGUAGAGUGAACUCUACCGGGUUUUACACUUUUUCUGAAGAUUAUUUGAUUUGAGAAAUCCUUGUGCAUCCUGGGGUUACCAAAUAUAAAAUGCCAGGUCUAACUACUGUCAGGUCCUUCACACUGAGUCUUGGGAUAUAUUUAGCAGUUAAAGUGACUGCUAACAGAAUCUGAUGCAACCUGGAAAUCAGUAUCUCCCAGUAAAGCCAGUACAACCGUACUAAGGACAGAUCCUAGAUUGCACAGGGAAGUGAAACAAAUGGAAAACCAUGCCACUGCAUGAAGAGACAUUUUGGAUUUCUGUCUUACUCUGUUGCAGAAUGAUUGGAGCUGAUAGAUCAAGGGAUUGCUAUUGCAAUUGUCGUUUCAGAGCUCAGGAAGCUUCAGUUGCUAAAACCUAUGUGAGUACAUCUUUCUCUUAACAGCAGGUUACUAGUCACUGCAAUGCUGUGUCCACCAAUGUAACUGUUAAUGAACAUGCACAUC